AGCAGCCGCGGUAAUUCCAGCUCCAAUAGCGUAUAUUAAAGUUGUUGCAGUUAAAAAGCUCGUAGUUGAAUUUCGGAAUUUGUCAGUUGGUCGGGCUUCACUGUCCGUACUGGCUUGAUGGAUUCUUACCUUCUGAAUAACCAGCAUGCUAUUAAGUUGGUGCGUUGGGGAAGCAGAUCUAUUACCUUGAAAAAUUAGAGUGCUUAAAGCGGGCUUGUGCUCGAAUAGAUUAGCAUGGAAUAAUAAAAUAGGACGGCAUGGUUCUAUUUUGUUGGUUUCUAGGAUCACCGUAAUGAUUAAUAGGGAUAGUUGGGGGCAUUAGUAUUCAAUUGUCAGAGGUGAAAUUCUUGGAUUUAUUGAAGACUAACUUCUGCGAAAGCAUUUGCCAAGGAUGUUUUCAUUAAUCAAGAACGAAAGUUAGGGGAUCGAAGACGAUCAGAUACCGUCGUAGUCUUAACCAUAAACUAUGCCGACUAGAAUCGGACGAUGUUAAUUUAUAAUGACUCGUUCGG
rnacentral:rRNA from 1 species